rnacentral:rRNA from 1 species
UACGUAGGGUGCAAGCGUUGUCCGGAAUUAUUGGGCGUAAAGAGCUCGUAGGCGGUUCGUCGCGUCGGCUGUGAAAUCCCGAGGCUCAACCUCGGGUCUGCAGUCGAUACGGGCGGACUGGAGUUCGGCAGGGGAGACGUGGAAUUCCUGGUGUAGCGGUGAAAUGCGCAGAUAUCAGGAGGAACACCGGUGGCGAAGGCGGGUCUCUGGGCCGAUACUGACGUGAGGAGCGAAAGCGUGGGGAGCGAACAGG